UGGGGAAUAUUGCACAAUGGGCGCAAGCCUGAUGCAGCCAUGCCGCGUGUGUGAAGAAGGCCUUCGGGUUGUAAAGCACUUUCAGCGAGGAGGAAGGUGGUGAGCUUAAUACGCUCAUCAAUUGACGUUACUCGCAGAAGAAGCACCGGCUAACUCCGUGCCAGCAGCCGCGGUAAUACGGAGGGUGCAAGCGUUAAUCGGAAUUACUGGGCGUAAAGCGCACGCAGGCGGUUUGUUAAGUCAGAUGUGAAAUCCCCGGGCUCAACCUGGGAACUGCAUUUGAAACUGGCAAGCUAGAGUCUCGUAGAGGGGGGUAGAAUUCCAGGUGUAGCGGUGAAAUGCGUAGAGAUCUGGAGGAAUACCGGUGGCGAAGGCGGCCCCCCUGGACGAAGACUGACGCUCAGGUGCGAAAGCGUGGGGCAGCAAACAGGAUUAGAUACCCUGGUAGUCCAGCGCUGUAAACGAUGUCGAUUUGGAGGUUGUGCCCCUUGAGGCGUGGCUUCCGGAGCUAACGCGUUAAAUCGACCGCCUGGGGAGUACGGCCGCAAGGUUAAAACUCAAAUGAAUUG
rnacentral:rRNA from 1 species